GGUCCUAUAGCUCAGCGGGAGAGCGUUCCGUUCACACCGGAAAGGUCACUGGUUCGAUCCCAGUUAGGACCACCA
rnacentral:tRNA from 1 species